rnacentral:tRNA from 1 species
GUAAACAUAUUUUAAUCAAAAUACUAGGCUGUGGUCCUAGACAUGAAGACUAAUUCUCUUCUGUUUACC